rnacentral:rRNA from 1 species
GACGAACGCUGGCGGCGCGCCUAACACAUGCAAGUCGAACGAGCGAGAGAGAGUUUACUUUUUCGAGCGAGUGGCGAACGGGUGAGUAACGCGUGAGGAACCUGCCUCAAAGAGGGGGGACAACAGUUGGAAACGACUGCUAAUACCGCAUAAGCCCACGACCCGGCAUCGGGUAGAGGGAAAAGGAGCAAUCCGCUUUGAGAUGGCCUCGCGUCCGAUUAGCUAGUUGGUGAGGUAAUGGCCCACCAAGGCGACGAUCGGUAGCCGGACUGAGAGGUUGAACGGCCACAUUGGGACUGAGACACGGCCCAGACUCCUACGGGAGGCAGCAGUGGGGAAUAUUGCACAAUGGGGGAAACCCUGAUGCAGCGACGCCGCGUGGAGGAAGAAGGUCUUCGGAUUGUAAACUCCUGUUGUUGAGGAAGAUAAUGACGGUACUCAACAAGGAAGUGACGGCUAACUACGUGCCAGCAGCCGCGGUAAAACGUAGGUCACAAGCGUUGUCCGGAAUUACUGGGUGUAAAGGGAGCGCAGGCGGGAAGACAAGUUGGAAGUGAAAUCCAUGGGCUCAACCCAUGAACUGCUUUCAAAACUGUUUUUCUUGAGUAGUGCAGAGGUAGGCGGAAUUCCCGGUGUAGCGGUGGAAUGCGUAGAUAUCGGGAGGAACACCAGUGGCGAAGGCGGCCUACUGGGCACCAACUGACGCUGAGGCUCGAAAGUGUGGGUAGCAAACAGGAUUAGAUACCCUGGUAGUCCACACUGUAAACGAUGAUAAAAGGUGUUGGAGGAUGACCCCUUCAGUGCCGCAGUUAACACAAUAAAUAAUCCACCUGGGGAGUACGACCGCAAGGUUGAAACUCAAAGGAAUUGACGGGGGCCCGCACAAGCAGUGGAAGUAUGUGGUUUAAUUCGACGCAACGCGAAGAACCUUACCAAGUCUUGACAUCCUGCGACGGUGCUGGAAACAGUGCUUUCCUUCGGGACGCAGAGACAGGUGGUGCAUGGUUGUCGUCAGCUCGUGUCGUGAGAUGUUGGGUUAAGUCCCGCAACGAGCGCAACCCUUAUGGUCAGUUACUACGCAAGAGGACUCUGGCCAGACUGCCGUUGACAAAACGGAGGAAGGUGGGGAUGACGUCAAAUCAUCAUGCCCUUUAUGACUUGGGCUACACACGUACUACAAUGGCGUUAAACAAAGAGAAGCAAGACCGCGAGGUGGAGCAAAACUCAGAAACAACGUCCCAGUUCGGACUGCAGGCUGCAACUCGCCUGCACGAAGUCGGAAUUGCUAGUAAUCGCAGAUCAGCAUGCUGCGGUGAAUACGUUCCCGGGCCUUGUACA